GGUACCUGGCGGCGUGCCUAAUACAUGCAAGUCGAGCGAACAGACGAGGAGCUUGCUCCUCUGACGUUAGCGGCGGACGGGUGAGUAACACGUGGAUAACCUACCUAUAAGACUGGGAUAACUUCGGGAAACCGGAGCUAAUACCGGAUAAUAUAUUGAACCGCAUGGUUCAAUAGUGAAAGACGGUUUUGCUGUCACUUAUAGAUGGAUCCGCGCCGCAUUAGCUAGUUGGUAAGGUAACGGCUUACCAAGGCAACGAUGCGUAGCCGACCUGAGAGGGUGAUCGGCCACACUGGAACUGAGACACGGUCCAGACUCCUACGGGAGGCAGCAGUAGGGAAUCUUCCGCAAUGGGCGAAAGCCUGACGGAGCAACGCCGCGUGAGUGAUGAAGGUCUUCGGAUCGUAAAACUCUGUUAUUAGGGAAGAACAAAUGUGUAAGUAACUAUGCACGUCUUGACGGUACCUAAUCAGAAAGCCACGGCUAACUACGUGCCAGCAGCCGCGGUAAUACGUAGGUGGCAAGCGUUAUCCGGAAUUAUUGGGCGUAAAGCGCGCGUAGGCGGUUUUUUAAGUCUGAUGUGAAAGCCCACGGCUCAACCGUGGAGGGUCAUUGGAAACUGGAAAACGUGAGUGCAGAAGAGGAAAGUGGAAUUCCAUGCGUCAGCGGUGAAAAUGCGCAUAAUAUAUGUGAGGAACACCAGUGGUGUAAGGAGACUUUCUGGGCUGUAACUGACGCCUGAUUUAUGACAACCGUGGUUGAUCAAAACAUGAUUAGAUUACCUUGGGAU
rnacentral:rRNA from 1 species